AGUAGUUUGAUCAUGGCUCGAGGACAACGCUGGCGGCGUGCUUAACACAUGCAAGUCGAACGAGGAUAUACUGCGGAAGGGCUUCGGUCCGGAAGGGGUGUAUUCGAGUGGCGGACGGGUGAGUAACGCGUGAGCAAUCUGUCCCAGACAGGGGAAUAACACUUGGAAACAGGUGCUAAUACCGCAUAAGACCACAGUAUCGCAUGGUACAGGGGUAAAAGGAGCAAUCCGGUUUGGGGUGAGUUCGCGUCCGAUUAGAUAGUUGGUGAGGUAACGGCCCACCAAGUCGACGAUCGGUAGCCGACCUGAGAGGGUGAUCGGCCACAUUGGAACUGAGAGACGGUCCAAACUCC
rnacentral:rRNA from 1 species